GCUAGAGAAGGUAGAGGAGAUGGUACAGGGUUACAGGCUAAGACUUGGGUGUUCUUGGGGCCCUUGAAUAUAUGUCCUCUUCUCUCUCCUUCCAGGUGUAUG
ensembl:miRNA